rnacentral:rRNA from 1 species
AGUGAACGCUGGCGGUAGGCCUAACACAUGCAGGUCGAACGGCAGCACAGUAAGAGCUUGCUCUUACGGGUGGCGAGUGGCGGACGGGUGAGGAAUACAUCGGAAUCUACUUUUUCGUGGGGGAUAACGUAGGGAAACUUACGCUAAUGCCGCAUACGACCUACGGGUGAAAGCAGGGGAUCUUCGGACCUUGCGCGAUUGAAUGAGCCGAUGUCGGAUUAGCUAGUUGGCGGGGUAAAGGCCCACCAAGGCGACGAUCCGUAGCUGGUCUGAGAGGAUGAUCAGCCACACUGGAACUGAGACACGGUCCAGACUCCUACGGGAGGCAGCAGUGGGGAAUAUUGGACAAUGGGCGCAAGCCUGAUCCAGCCAUACCGCGUGGGUGAAGAAGGCCUUCGGGUUGUAAAGCCCUUUUGUUGGGAAAGAAAAGCAGCAGGUUAAUACCCCGCUGUUCUGACGGUACCCAAAGAAUAAGCACCGGCUAACUUCGUG